rnacentral:rRNA from 1 species
GAUGAACGCUGACAGAAUGCUUAACACAUGCAAGUCUACUUGAUUCUACUUCGGUAGUUGAUGGUGGCGGACGGGUGAGUAACGCGUAAAGAAUCUGCCCUUUAGUUUGGGAUAACCUUUGGAAACGAAGGCUAAUACCGGAUAUUAUGGAGACGUCGCAUGGCGACUCCAUGAAAGCUAUAUGCGCUGAGGAGGACUUUGCGUCCCAUUAGUUAGUUGGUGAGGUAAUGGCUCACCAAGACCGCGAUGGGUAGCCGGCCUGAGAGGGUGAUCGGCCACAAGGGAACUGAGACACGGUCCUUACUCCUACGGGAGGCAGCAGUGGGGAAUAUUGGACAAUGGGCCACAAGCCUGAUCCAGCAAUUCUGUGUGCACGAUGAAGGUCUUCGGAUUGUAAAGUGCUUUCAGUAGGGAAGAAAAAAAUGACGGUACCUACAGAAGAAGCGACGGCUAAAUAUGUGCCAGCAGCCGCGGUAAAAC